rnacentral:rRNA from 1 species
GUCUACAGCCAUGCCACCCUGAGCAUGCCCGAUCUUGACUGAUCUUGGAAGCUAAGCAGGGUCAGGCUUGGUUAGUACGUGGAUGGGAUACCACAUAGGAAUACCAGGUGCUGUAGGUG